UUGUACAUUGCCAUGUUUUACUACAAAACAUACAGAUACAGGAAAGCUUUAUCGGUUUUAGAGAAGACAAAGGCUAAGUUAGCACGUCCAUAUUUGAUGUAUGGGGAACACGUAGACAGGGAGUUGUAUCUUGAGGCUGUAGGGGGAAAGUCCUGGGCAACAAAGAAGAGAGAAGCUGUUGCAUAUGAUCUAAUAAUUUACAGCAGAAUAAAUUACAUAGAUGAACUUGUACCAUUACAGGAGUUCGCUCGACAAAGUUCCAUUGUUUUUUUUGAUAUUCCAUUGUUUGUGUUCUUACACUUCCUUGAGUUUUUGUGUUACAGGCACAUUGAUGGAGCACUAUCACAGGCUGCUCUAAACGAACUUCAAGUUCUAGUUCAGUAUGGCCAUGAUCCGUAUGUACCUAACACACACAGAGACAUCUCCUUGUAUACGUAUAUCCUCGGAAUCUGUCAACAGAUGGCGGGUCAACACUAGGUGCCCGCUCCAAUCGACAUUGAUUCAACACUACAACAACACAAAUAACCGUAUAUGUUAAACGACAUUGGAUAUAGCUAAGAAAUAUGUUAACAGCAAUCAGUAUUUGAGAAAAAGAAUUACUGCACAAAUAAAGAGUUUGAGGAAAGUAAGACUACUUUUCUUUGUCAUUGUAUAUACAUACUUGUUGUGUAAUUUGUCUUUAUACUCGUAAUUACCAAUUAGAAUUUUUGUUAAAAAGUAUGAAAUCAUUUUACAUUUAAUAUUAUCAUCAUUUUUAGUAACUGUUGAGGACAGCUUUUUCUGUAGAAAAACAUGUAUUUGUUAUUAUUCUUCUUUUAUCAUUCUUUUAUCGUAAAUAUGUCUAAGUAUUGCAUUUCAAUGUAGUUUGCAUGUAACAUUGUACGAUUUAUCAAUAAAAAUAAGUUAAAACCU
rnacentral:misc_RNA from 1 species